rnacentral:pre_miRNA from 1 species
UGGAUGAAGACAGAGCAGUGGAGUUCGACACUAGCAUGUAUCACUUUGGUGAACAGAGCUUGAGUGAAGCUCAUAAGAACAACAGUAAACUGUAGAAGUGGUGCAAGAAGCAGAACAAGCUGCUCGCCAAGUGUUUCAAGACUCUCAAGUUUCAGUAACAGUCCACUUCUAUUCCA